CUUCAAUCGCACAAACACAUUCAAUAUAAAGUCCUUUUAUCAAGUUAAGACAUCUAAAUCUUGCAAACAAAGCAUGCCCCAUCAAUAAAGAUGAUCUCAAUUUCUCAGUACAUUAGUCAGCAGGCCAUUAGCAUUAGCUCAUGUUAACAACGGCAACAUGCUACUAUAGCUCAGGUCACAGACAUUCCGAUUGUACAGACUACAGAGCACAACAACACCUACAACACAUUGAUUCAAAUAAUUUCAUGUACAUCUCAUCCCGGAGGCUUUUGCAUUCAUACCUUCAUGCUGCUUCUUCAGUCAGGCUGCACUUAAGAGGCCAUCUAAAUUUUGUUUCGUUUUCAACAGAGGAACCAGCUGCAGCACCGGAACCGGGACGACACGCAGCCGGUCUUCCGGAUGCGCUCCACCUGACGGGCCAGCCAGACUGCCCAUCGGUUCCACCUCGCUUUGACCCUCGCC
rnacentral:lncRNA from 1 species